GCCGGGAGUCGCUGCUGGUUUCGUGUCGAUAGAGCACAGAGGCUAUGGAGGCGAUCAACAACGAAGCGCUGAUCGCCUGCGUUGAGGCUCGACCUGCGCUUUGGUAGCAGGCGAAACACAAGCGCCACUAGAACAAGCACUUGACGAGGUGGUCGUGGAUCGUCAUGCCCAACGCUGCCGAACAGAUGACGUUAUCACAGCGCUGCAGAAGUGAUGGAAGUCCCUGAGGAAUAAAUUUCGGCGCCUCGGAAGACGUUUCAGAAAGAAAAGAGCCGCGCCGUGCCAGUCGACGUUCACGACGACGUCAUCUGGCUGUUUUUUGACCAGAUGAUGUUUCUGCGCUACACAAUGGAGUGUAGACCGAUGUCCGCCAACCUUCCACCAGUGCCCCCAUCGAGUGAGGAGGGAAGUGCUGCAGACAUCUUAACAAAAAAUGUGCCAGUUUUCCGAUCUGGCAACACUUGAAGUGCCAUCACCGUCAAGUGAAGAGUCACAAGCGCCAGCAUCGACUCUGUCUUCGGCGUCGCAUGAGUCUGUGGAGUCUCAGGACAUUUUGGAAUCUCUUGAAUCACCGAUGUUUCAAGAAGUUCUGGUUCCUGAGGA